CCCUUAGAUGUUCUGGGCCGCACGCGCGCUACACUGACGAUUGCAACGAGCUUAUAACCUUGGCCGAAAGGUCUGGGUAAUCUCCAAAUUUCGUCGUGAUGGGGAUAGAUUAUUGCAAUUAUUAAUCUUCAACGAGGAAUGCCUAGUAAGCGCAAGUCAUCAGCUUGCGUUGAUUACGUCCCUGCCCUUUGUACACACCGCCCGUCGCUCCUACCGAUUGAAUGGUCCGGUGAAGCGUUCGGACCGUGGCCUUUGGACGGUUCGCCGUCUGUUGGCUGCGGGAAGUUCGUUAAACCUUAUCAUUUAGAGGAAGGAGAAGUCGUAACA
rnacentral:rRNA from 1 species